CGGAUGGCUGCAUAGAGGGAGCUAGCCCUGGCCUGAGGGAUGGGGGCUUUAUCCCCCGACACAGUGAAGUGGUCUAGAUUUAUUUAUUUUAUGUUUUGCCCACAUGUGUGUGUGUGUGUACCAUGUGUGUGCCUCGUCCCCACAGAGGUCACGAGAGCACUGGAACCCUGGAUCUGAAGUUACGGAUGCUGAAACACUGUGGGUACUGGGGAAAAACCGGGUCCUCUUAAGUGCUCUUAACCAGGGUGCCAUCUCUCUCCAGUACUGAAUUUUUGUUUAAGGCGGUGGUAUAUCAUAUACUCCAAGUGACCUCACACUUCUUAUAGAAACCAAGGCUGACCUUGAAUUCCUGGUCCCCGUACCCUCCCAAGUGCCAGGAUCACAGGUGUGUGCCACCAUUCACAUGACCUUUCACCUAGAUUGUGCUAGAGCAGUGCUGGCUGGCCUGUCCCAGAACUCCUUUAAGAGGUCAUUGGCAUCUGAUGUAUGUCAUGGCUCUGGCCUAGACCCAGACCACCAGACUGACUGACUGUGGUGGGAGCUGAUCAAAAAAAAAAAAAAAAAAAAACAAUAAAUAAAGAGAA
rnacentral:lncRNA from 1 species